rnacentral:rRNA from 1 species
CCUACGGGUGGCUGCAGUGAGGAAUAUUGGUCAAUGGGCGAGAGCCUGAACCAGCCAAGUCGCGUGAGGGAGUACUGCCCUAUGGGUUGUAAACCUCUUUUGUCGGGGAGCAAAAGCCGGACGUGUCCGGCUGUGAGAGUACCCGAAGAAAAAGCAUCGGCUAACUCCGUGCCAGCAGCCGCGGUAAUACGGAGGAUUCGAGCGUUAUCCGGAUUUAUUGGGCGUAAAGGGUGUGCAGGCGGUUUUGCAAGAUGGAUGUGAAAGCCCCGGGCUUAACCUGGGAAAGCCAUACAUGACUGCAAGACUAGAGUGCGUCAGAGGGGGGUGGAAUUCCAAGUGUAGCAGUGAAAUGCGUAGAUAUUUGGAAGAACACCGAUGGCGAAGGCAGCCCCCUGGGACGCAACUGACGCUCAUACACGAAAGCGUGGGGAGCAAACAGGAUUAGAUACCCUUGUAGUC